UGGCUGCUUACCUAAACCCAUCCUUUGCAGUUUAUAGUUCCCAUCACUGACAUUCUAUCUUUAGUGACUGCAGAGAAGCAAUACUUACAGACACCUCCUGGACAGGAGUAAAGCAAGACUUCAUCCAAGAUGUCUGGUAUUUUAAAAAUGUUUGGAAAAGACGACGACAAAGAUAAGGACAAGGACAAACACAAGAAAGAAGAUAAAGACAAAAAGGAUAAAAAGGAUAAGGAUAAGAAUAAGGAUAAGGAUAAGAAGAAGAAGGAGAAAAAGGAUGGAGAUAAGUCUAGCAGUUCCAGCUCUGACAGUGAUUCUGAUGGAGGAAAAAAGAAAAAGGACAAACACUGACGUUUCAGGAAGCCCGUGGCUGACACUGACCCCCUUGCAAGAAGGCUUCACUAUAUGACUCCACUGCUGGGUUUUGAUGUUUGUAUGUGUUUCUGUUAUAUCAUGCUGUGUUAAAGCUCACUUUGAAUUUCCUAAUAAAGUGAGAAAUUUAAAUUCA